rnacentral:rRNA from 1 species
GUGAGUAACACGUGGGUGAUCUGCCCUGCACUCUGGGAUAAGCCUGGGAAACUGGGUCUAAUACCGGAUAGGACCAUGCUUUAGCGUGUGUGGUGGAAAGUUUUUCGGUGUAGGAUGAGCCCGCGGCCUAUCAGCUUGUUGGUGGGGUAAUGGCCUACCAAGGCGGCGACGGGUAGCCGGACUGAGAGGUUGGUCGGCCACAUUGGGACUGAGAUACGGCCCAG